GUGACUGCGUACCUUUUGUAUAAUGGGUCAGCGACUUAUAUUCAGUAGCGAGGUUAACCGUAUAGGGGAGCCGUAGAGAAAUCGAGUCUUAAUAGGGCGUUUAGUUGCUGGGUAUAGACCCGAAACCAGGCGAUCUAUCCAUGAGCAGGUUGAAGGUUGGGUAACACUAACUGGAGGACCGAACCCACUGUCGUUGAAAAGCCAGGGGAUGACUUGUGGAUAGGGGUGAAAGGCUAAUCAAGCCUGGUGAUAGCUGGUUCUCCCCGAAAGCUAUUUAGGUAGCGCCUCGGACGAAUACCAUAGGGGGUAGAGCACUGUUUCGGCUAGGGGGUCAUCCCGACUUACCAAACCGAUGCAAACUCCGAAUACCUAUGAGUACUAUCCGGGAGACAGACUGCGGGUGCUAACGUCCGUAGUCAAGAGGAAAACAAUCCAGACCGCCAGCUAAGGCCCCAAAAUCAUAGUUAAGUGGGAAACGAUGUGGGAAGGCAUAGACAGCUAGGAGGUUGGCUUAGAAGCAGCCACCCUUUAAAGAAAGCGUAAUAGCUCACUAGUCGAGUCGGCCUGCGCGGAAGAUGUAACGGGGCUAAAACUAUGUGCCGAAGCUGCGGAUUUGACAUUAGUCAAGUGGUAGGGGAGCGUUCUGUAAGCCGAUGAAGGUGUAUUGAGAAGUAUGCUGGAGGUAUCAGAAGUGCGAAUGCUGACGUGAGUAACGACAAAACGGGUGAAAAACCCGUUCGCCGAAAGACCAAGGGUUCCAGUCCAACGUUAAUCGGGGCUGGGUGAGUCGACCCCUAAGGCGAGGCCGAAAGGCGUAGUCGAUGGGAAAUUGGUUAAUAUUCCAAUACUUCUGUGUAAUGCGAUGAGAGGACGGAGAAGGUUAAGUCAGCCUGGCGUUGGUUGUCCAGGUGGAAGGAUGUAGGUAUGUAUCUUAGGCAAAUCCGGGGUACUCUAUACUGAGAUCCGAUAGCAAGCUGUACUUGUACAGUGAAGUGGCUGAUACCAUGCUUCCAGGAAAAGUCUCUAAGCUUCAGUUACACAGGAAUCGUACCCGAAACCGACACAGGUGGUCAGGUCGAGUAGACCAAGGCGCUUGAGAGAACUCUGCUGAAGGAACUAGGCAAAAUGGUACCGUAACUUCGGGAGAAGGUACGCUGUUGUUGGUGAUGGAACUUGCUUCCUGAGCUGACGACAGCCGCAGAAACCAGGCCGCUGCAACUGUUUAUUAAAAACAUAGCACUCUGCAAACACGAAAGUGGACGUAUAGGGUGUGAUGCCUGCCCGGUGCUGGAAGGUUAAUUGAUGGGGUUAGCGUAAGCGAAGCUCUUGAUCGAAGCCCCAGUAAACGGCGGCCGUAACUAUAACGGUCCUAAGGUAGCGAAAUUCCUUGUCGGGUAAGUUCCGACCUGCACGAAUGGCAUAAUGAUGGCGGCGCUGUCUCCAGCAGAGGCUCAGUGAAAUCGAAAUCGCUGUGAAGAUGCAGUGUACCCGCGGCUAGACGGAAAGACCCCGUGAACCUUUACUGCAGCUUGACACUGAACUUUGACCUUACUUGUGUAGGAUAGGUGGGAGGCUUUGAAGUUGGAACGCUAGUUCCAAUGGAGCCGUCCUUGAAAUACCACCCUGGUAAUGUUGAGGUUCUAACUCUGUCCCGUUAUCCGGGACGAGGACCGUGUCUGGUGGGUAGUUUGACUGGGGCGGUCUCCUCCUAAAGAGUAACGGAGGAGUACGAAGGUGCGCUCAGCGUGGUCGGAAAUCACGCGUAGAGUAUAAAGGCAAAAGCGCGCUUAACUGCGAGACCCACAAGUCGAGCAGGUACGAAAGUAGGUCUUAGUGAUCCGGUGGUUCUGUAUGGAAGGGCCAUCGCUCAACGGAUAAAAGGUACUCUGGGGAUAACAGGCUGAUACCGCCCAAGAGUUCAUAUCGACGGCGGUGUUUGGCACCUCGAUGUCGGCUCAUCUCAUCCUGGGGCUGAAGCAGGUCCCAAGGGUAUGGCUGUUCGCCAUUUAAAGAGGUACGCGAGCUGGGUUUAGAACGUCGUGAGACAGUUCGGUCCCUAUCUACCGUGGGCGCUGGAAAUUUGAGAGGAUCUGCUCCUAGUACGAGAGGACCAGAGUGGACGAACCUCUGGUGUACCGGUUGUGACGCCAGUCGCAUCGCCGGGUAGCUAUGUUCGGAAGGGAUAACCGCUGAAAGCAUCUAAGCGGGAAGCCUACCUCAAGAUAAGAUUUCCCUAGGAAUUUAUUCCUCUAAAGAGCCGUUCGAGACUAGGACGUUGAUAGGUUGGAUGUGGAAGCAUAGUGAUAUGUGAAGCUGACCAAUACUAAUUGCUCGUGAGGCUUGACUAU
rnacentral:rRNA from 1 species